rnacentral:rRNA from 1 species
AGCGAACGCUGGCGGCAGGCCUAACACAUGCAAGUCGAACGAAGUCUUCGGACUUAGUGGCGGACGGGUGAGUAACACGUGGGAACGUGCCUUUAGGUUCGGAAUAACUCAGGGAAACUUGUGCUAAUACCGAAUGUGCCCUUCGGGGGAAAGAUUUAUCGCCUUUAGAGCGGCCCGCGUCUGGUUAGCUAGUUGGUGAGGUAAAGGCUCACCAAGGCGACGAUCAGUAGCUGGUCUGAGAGGAUGAUCAGCCACAUUGGGACUGAGACACGGCCCAAGCUCCUACGGGAGGCAGCAGUGGGGAAUCUUGCGCAAUGGGCGAAAGCCUGACGCAGCCAUGCCGCGUGAAUGAUGAAGGUCUUAGGAUUGUAAAAUUCUUUCACCGGGGACGAUAAUGACGGUACCCGGAGAAGAAGCCCCGGCUAACUUCGUGCCAGCAGCCGCGGUAAAAC